UGGGCAACCUGCCCCUCUCUCUGGGAUAACCCCGGGAAACCGGAGCUAAUACCGGAUACUCCGGCUGGAUCGCAUGGUCCGGCCGGGAAAGGUCCGCCGGAGAGGGAUGGGCCCGCGGCCUAUCAGCUUGUUGGUGGGGUCAUGGCUCACCAAGGCGACGACGGGUAGCUGGCCUGAGAGGACGACCAGCCACACUGGAACUGAGAUACGGUCCAGACUCCUACGGGAGGCA
rnacentral:rRNA from 1 species